rnacentral:SRP_RNA from 5 species
GGGAGGUUGGUGGUGGACGAGCCACUCGCCAACCGGGUCAGGUCCGGAAGGAAGCAGCCCUAACGAGCCCGGCACGGGUCAUCGUGCCAGCCUCCCACCUUCU